UGUUAAAAAUUUCAUCAAUUUGUACUGUUAAAAACUGACACGCUUGAUAGAAUAACCCAACAAUAUACAUGAUGUGCUAUGUAUACUUUAUGCUGGCGUACAUAGACCAAGUUUUAACAAUAGAAAUGGAUAAAAAUUUACCU
rfam:Gossypium hirsutum cultivar TM-1 chromosome 16, whole genome shotgun sequence